rnacentral:lncRNA from 1 species
UGAUGAUAGGCAAAUUUUUUUGCUUCAAGUGAAAAAAUGCCUCUUUGAUUUUACCAAACUAAAAAUUACCCCACUACAAAACACGGAGACGAGGAAAAAAAGAAAAAAGAAAAUAAAGAAAAAUGAUGAGAACAAGAUUGUUAUGGUUUACUCUGGGUUUUGCAUCCACCUCCGCAGUAAUGACUCACUUUGUUUUCAAAGAUCUAUGGAUAGAUCGCAAAGGCAUCUUUUUCCAGGUAAUUUUGUAUAAAUUCAAACAUAUAUGCAUAUGAAUUGUAUUGAUUUAUAUCAAUUUUUUUUUUUUAAUUCUGUUUUUUGGUUGCAGUUGAAUGAAAAAUUUAAUUCUUUGGACACCCGAGUUUCGAAUCUGGAAUCCUUUCUUCCUCAUGAACACGCUCCACAGCAAGUACGGUUUUCUCCUCCAAUAUGUUAUGAUUUUUUAUUUUUUUUUAUCCUUUUCGUUUUGACAAGGUUUGAUUUUUAAGUUGGAAUCCAAGAUAAUAAUAACUAAUGAUUAAGGCUUGGGCUGGUCCCAUCGAAGGUUGACAAGGAACCCCAGGACUCAAUAGGAAAGAAUCAAAGUCGAAGUUUGGGUAGAGAAAAAUCUGUUGGUUUGUUAAAAAUUAAAAAUGAAGCCAGACUUGUUGUAUGGUGUAGCAAAUUUUACGUUUCUUAUUUGAAUCGGUAUCUUGGAAUGAACUGGAAUUUUGUUUAUAUUCUUCCAUUUUGUGGUGUAAAAACUAUUUAUAGUUGCGUUUGGUGUUUCGAGCAGAUGGUCAAGAAAUAGCUGCAAUUAUUUGUGGGAUACAUGUUUUAGUGUUCAGGUCAUGAUUUUUAAAACUGGAUAUGAAAAAUGUACAAAUUCAAACUAUUAAUAAUGUCUAAUCUGCAUUUGUUUUUUGAUGAAUUGAUAUCUUUUUCCUCUUAUCAAUGAGCUCCCAUUACUUGAGUGUAAUCAAUUUUUAUCUUGACAUAGAAUCACCAUGAUGGAGAAUAUUGAAUAAUGGAUAGAUCGUAAAUGUAACAAUUGCUUAAGAUUGUUCUUACAUAUGAAUCACUUUGCUAAACAAUGUCAUUAUGAGAGAUUCUAUUGUCUAUCUCAAAUCUUUGUAAGGUCUAAUUGGAGUUGACAUGAUAAUUCAUGUAGCAGUUGAAACACGUGUUCUAUUUUUCCCAAAUUAUUCAUCCCAUUGGUGGUUCAUCUAUUGGGAUUUGUCUCUUUAUGUUGAAAUUUUCUUGGAGAAGACUUGUGUAGAAAACUGAAUACUAAGAACUUAGAAGAUAUUGCUUUCUUUCUUUCUUUCGUUUGUUCGUUCUUUCUUUCUUUCUUUCUUUUUCUUUUUUGAGAAAAUGAACUUUUCGUGUGUGACAUCACAUAACGCUAAGUAGGACUUAUUGGGACUGAGUUGAAUAAUACUUGCAAACUUUAAGCUUUUUCUAAUAGAAAGUGGUGAGAUCCCAGAAUAAUGAUGUUAUAAAAUGAUAUUCCAGAGUUCCUUUAGGUCGGCUUACUUUUUUCUUUGUUUGAUCACACAAGCUUGUCAAUGAGGAAAGUCAGCGGAAACUACAUAAAAGAUUCAAAUAUUUAGUGAAAAUGCAAGGUGUUUUAUUUUUUGCCAUAUUGUGAACCUGUCAUCUUAUUAACACUUUGUUGAUUGUUCUUUUGACGGGCAUGAUAGAGGACUGAAGUAAGUUAAUACUUAAAUUUUAUCACAUCUUAUGAUGUAAAUCCUAAAUCUACUACUAAAAGCAAUAAUCAGAAUACUCAUCUGGGAAAACACAGUCACAACAUCACUUCUAAGGUAAUAGGAUUCCUGCAACAUCUGUCUCUCCAAAUAUUUUGAUCAAUUUGUCCCAUGGUAAGUUGGAAAAAAAAAAAAGGAAGUCUAAUACAUCAGUUCAAAGUAAUAAACAACAAACUUACGUGUUGAUUACAAAAAAAUUACAUACAAGUUGUUUAAACCUGUAAAAGUAAACUGGACUUUUCCUUCAACUCUUACUCUAUGUUUUUUCUCUAGGAAUGCUCAUAUGGUCAAAAAAUUUAAAUGUGUGUACUGUAGGCUAUGUCCCCAUUAUAUAAGUUCGUAGUUUCUUUCACUGCAGUGUUUACAUAAUGUUUCCACUUUCCACCGAAGCAGGUUUAUUUAGUACUGGAUAUAUGUAUUUCAAAUUAAUUUCAUCAAUUAUAUUGAAAAAUGACACUCACGGAAUUAAUGCUAAUAGUGAUAGAGUGGAUGUCAUUUUUCUUUAUAUAUUUGGCGAUUAUUCAAAGUGAUAGAAAAAUUAUUUAUACUUGAAAUUGUUGUGAUAUCCUCAUGUGCAAGGAUCACGAAAAUUAGUUUCCACUGUGAUUGUAAGGCCUUGAGGUGUCUCUUAUCACAUAAUCAUGUUGAGUAUUUCUUGUCUUAGUAUAAAUCAAUUCAUCACAUAGUUUUCUUAUGUUGUAACUUGUGCAUUUGCGCUUCCAUUCUCUCCUUCUUGCAGGACGAAGGCAAUUUGUAAUGGCGCUUCAGCAUUUUUUCUAUAGCCUUUCCCUUAGUUUGUCAAGCUUUCUCAUGACAUCUUUUGCUGAUGAAGUCAGUUUGCAGAAAAUCUAUAUCAUGCUUGGCCUUUUAGCCCUUUGUUUUUAAUGUAUUUUGCACAAGUUUGUGGUGGCUUGGUAUGACAGUGUUUUUCCGCCAAGAGGCCACAAGAUCGACAUUAUUUAUUUUCGAUCAAGAGCAUUGCUAAUUAGCCAUUGAAAAAAAUAAUAAUAGUAAUAGAAUUUUCAGUUUAUAUAUGUAUCUUCUAAGAACAAAACAAGAAAAGGUAAAAUAAAAUCACAAGGGUUUUUUUAGUUGCUAGAACCAGUCUGCUCAAUAAUUUGAACUGAAGCUGCUUCUUGCUGGAAAUCAAUCGUCUAAGAAGAAAAAGUAAAGGGAUAAAUACAAAUUAGCUAAGUUGGAUGAAGCAUAGAGCAUUUGAUCCAUCGAAUCUAUC